GGUUGAAAGGCGCCGGACUGAGGAUGGGGGGUGGGGUCUACGAAUGGUAGAAAAUGUUUUGAACGGGCUGUGGGAAGGCGAGACGGGGCUUUAAGGGGCUUGAAAGUAACCAGGCCAGGCGGGGGCGGGGCAGGGCUAAGAGAGGGUAGAGGAAUGGGAGACGGGGCCGCUAAGAGAAAGGUGAGACCUGUAAAGAGUACAACGCUACCAGCCUGGGAGUCUUGGGGGCCAGAGGACCUGGGAGAGAGCCCUAAGUGUCAGCGGGGUCUUGGAGGGCGGGGCGAGAACUUCCAACUGGUGAGGGAAACAGCAGACUACAGACAGGAGGACCAAGGGAUGGAGGGAACCCGAACACAGGCGGAGGGGAGACGCCAAAGCGCCUGGAGUCACAGUGUAGGCUGAGACAGUAGGCGGGGCCAAUGGGAAAUGGGGCGGGGCUAGGUGUCAGAGAAUUCUGGUGGGAGGGGACAGAUGGAGGGUUGGGGCGGAGCUAAUAGAGGGGCGGGGCCAGAGCUAGGCGGACCACCCCGGAGCGGGCCCGGCCCCGCCCCCUGGGCCGGCCUUGACACCGGCGGCAGGGCGCAGGCGCAGGGGCUGGGGCGGGGCCAGCGGCUGCGGCGGGGGCUGCGGCGGGAGGAGGCGGUGCCUGUGGGAGCGGAGGGGGCGGGUCAGGGGCUGCGGGCGGCCGCGCGGCACCGGCCCUGACCCGCCGCCUCCCUCUGCAGGUGCCGCGGCUGGACUCGAGGCUGCGUCACUGCAGAGAGAGUUGCAGAAGUUGGGCCUGUCCUGCGGACCAGGCAGGUAGUUUCCCUUGCCCCCCGGACCCUGGGCUCCCCCGCUGCCCCCGCCGAUCCAGAGUCCUCGUAUCCUCGGGCAGUCCUCAAGCCCCCCUGGGACCCAGGAGAGCAGAGCAAAGACACUGGGGCUUCCUACUCUUCUCCGCCCAGGAUUCUGGUGUAUCCCCAGGCAGAAGCAGCGGAUCCUAAGCAGCCAGGCACGGGAUCAAGUGACCAAAUCAGCAUUUUUGCAGAGCUCCAGAGAGCGAGACACUAAUUUUACUCUUCAAAACUCACGAGCUUAAAAAAAAAAAGAGGCGAUCCAGGUGGGUUCAAUGGAAAUAGUGGAGUAUUUUACUGAGUAGCGGUGCCUCUGCUACGACCCUUUGCGCA